GUGGUUAACUGGAAGUCACUGCUCAUUAAACUGACAGCAGAAAGAGCUGAUCAGGAGGAAAUAGCAGAAGUCUUUGGUUUUCCUGUGCCAAUUCUCUGGCUGGAUGAGUGAUAUUUAGAUAAUGAGAGAACACAUCUGUUAUCAUCUCUAACCUGGAAGCGUAACAGUGGGAUUUAAAUAGCUUUAGCUGCUGUUUUUUCUCGUUCUUCUGAGCUGUUAUUGUGGAGCGACACACGAUCAGCGAUGAUGAAUAAUUAACCCAAAGAUCAGCUCGAGUGAAAGUUUAUUCAGGACUCGGUUUGAUUGUGAUGUAACUGGAGGAGAAGUUACCGAGCCCAGGAUCUCUUUACAACAGGAAACAGAGAAAGACAAUCUCAUUUUGUUCUCCUGUUUAAAAGAUAUCGAACACUUGUGUGGAUUGUCUGGUUUCAUCAUUAACUGUGGUUUGCAGCUUUGGAGUAUGGUCUGAGUGUUGUCCUGUCAUGGCCUGCAGUGUUGCUAAAGCAGGCUCUGCUAAUGGCUUCCCUAUGAAAGCGCAGCUGCAGAUCGUGGUGAUCUCGGCCAAACUCAAGGACAACAAGAAGAAUUGGUUUGGCCCGAGUCCGUAUGUGGAGGUGUGUGUGGACAACCAGUCCAAAAAGACAGAGAAAUGCAGCAACACACACUCGCCCAAAUGGAAGCAGCCGCUCACUGUGAUCGUGACUCCGUUCAGCAAGCUGAUCUUCCGUGUUUGGAGUCACCAGACGCUGAAGUCUGAUAUUCUCCUGGGUGUGGCCACCCUCGACAUCAGCCAGACGCUCAAAACACACGACAUGAAGAUCUGUGAGGUGGUGCAGAUGCUGAAGUUGUACACAGACAGAGAUCAGUCGGACCACAUCGGGGAUCUGUCCGUGUGUUUGGACGGUCUGACGGUGGAUCCCGAAGCGUUCCAGUCGGCCGAGGCCAACAACAAGAAUACUUUAAACGGGGAAUCUGACAUUCAUGAAGACUUAAGCAGAAGAAGCAGAGAUCCAUCUCCAUCGGUCUCAGACGCUCAGGAUCAGUCGUUGGCUCCGAACGGCCGUGUGAACGGAAUGGACUCUCCUUCGGUGUCAUCCAGAGGGUCGCGACCCCUGAGACCCCCGCGACCCUCACGACCUCCCCCGCCGACCCCACACAGACCCACGUCUUCCCCAGCUUCCUCUACCGGCUCAUUUCCUGACAGCAGCGAUUCGUCCAGAUCAGACACUCCGGUUCGGAAUCCCACUGGAGGCGGAGCCUCGGAGUCAAGCCCCGCCCCCACAGUGGAGCAGCCUGGAAGGACGUCCCUCAGUAUAGUCCCCGCCCCCAGCAGGAUUCCCAGCGUAGCCAACACUGGACCUCUGCCUCCCCACUGGGAGCAGCGUGUCGAUCAGAACGGCCGUUUAUAUUAUGUUGACCAUGUAGCAAAGAAGACGACGUGGGAGAGACCAGAGACUCUGCCGGUGGGCUGGGAGCGGCGUGUGGACCCGAUGGGCCGGGUGUAUUUUGUGGACCACAUUAGCAGAACCACCACGUGGCAGCGGCCCACGAUGGAGACGGUGAGAAACUACGAGCAGUGGCAGCACCAGCGCAGUCAGCUGCAGGGAGCCAUGCAGCAGUUCAACCAAAGAUUCAUCAUCGGGGAUCAGGUUUCAGCCACCCAAAAUAAAGAGUUCGACCCACUGGGACCUCUUCCACACGGAUGGGAGAAGAGAACGGACUCUAAUGGCAGAGUUUACUUCGUUCAUCACUCCACCAGAACGACGCAGUGGGAGGAUCCGCGCACACAAGGUUUGCUAAACGAUAAGCCACUGCCUGAAGGUUGGGAGAUGAGGUUUACGGUCGAUGGGAUCCCUUACUUCGUAGAUCACACCCGGAGAACCACCACUUACAUCGACCCUCGGACUGGGAAAUCCUCUCUUGAGAACGGCCCUCAGAUCACAUACGUACGAGACUUCAAAGCCAAAGUUCAGUACUUCAGAUUCUGGUGUCAGCAAUUAUCGAUGCCACAGCACAUAAAAAUCACCGUCACCCGCAAAACGCUGUUUGAAGACUCCUUCCAGCAGAUCAUGAGUUUCAACGCUCAGGAUCUCCGGCGCAGACUGUGGAUCAUCUUCCCCGGGGAGGAGGGGCUUGACUAUGGAGGCGUGGCCAGGGAGUGGUUCUUCCUGUUGUCUCACGAGGUGUUGAACCCCAUGUACUGUUUGUUUGAAUACGCUGGCAAAGACAACUACUGCCUCCAGAUAAACCCCGCCUCCUACAUCAACCCCGACCACCUCAAAUACUUCCGGUUCAUUGGACGCUUCAUCGCCAUGGCCUUGUUUCAUUCGAAAUUCAUCGAUACAGGCUUCUCACUGCCGUUCUACAAGCGCAUCCUGAACAAGCCCUUGACUCUGAAAGACCUGGAGUCCAUCGACCCAGAGUUUUACAACUCGCUCAUCUGGAUCAAGGAUAAUAACAUCGAGGAGUGCGGGCUGGAGAUGUUUUUCUCGGUGGAUAAGGAGAUCCUGGGUGAGGUGUCAACUCACGAGCUGAAGCCGGACGGCGGGAACAUCCAGGUCACAGAGGAGAACAAGGAGGAGUACAUCAGGCUGGUGGCUGAGUGGCGUCUGUCUCGUGGUGUCGAGGAACAGACUCAAGCCUUUUUUGAAGGAUUUAAUGAGGUUCUUCCACAGCAGUACCUGCAGUAUUUCGAUGCCAAAGAGCUGGAGGUGAUGUUGUGUGGAAUGCAAGAAAUCGAUCUGAAUGACUGGCAGAGAAACACCAUUUACAGACAUUACACUUCCACCAGUAAACAGAUCCUGUGGUUCUGGCAGUUUAUUAAAGAGAUGGACAAUGAGAAGCGCAUGAGACUGUUGCAGUUCGUCAGCGGGACCUGUCGUCUACCUGUAGGAGGAUUUGCAGACCUGAUGGGGAGUAAUGGACCGCAGAAGUUUUGCAUCGAGAAGGUUGGGAAGGAGAACUGGCUUCCUCGCAGCCACACAUGUUUUAAUCGUCUGGAUCUGCCGCCGUACCGCAGUUACGAGCAGAUGAAGGAGAAGCUGAUGUUUGCGAUUGAGGAGACAGAAGGUUUCGGACAGGAGUGAGACGCUCUCUCUCACUCACACACACACACUCACACACACACACAAACAGAGGACAUCCAGAUCUUAUGCACACUAGUUUUACUGAGAAGACAGACGAUGAUUUGACACACGGGGGUUUCUGCGCUCACCUGUCACUUGGUAUUCAGUUCUGUAUCCCUCUGAGUUGAGGAGGCUUUAUGCAAGCGUGUCAGAUACGUGAUUCUGACGUUUCUACAUGUGAUUAAUGUUCUCUACGACUCCAGAGGAAAGAGCAGACUCUCUGAAGAGUCCCAGGACGAUCGGAUUGAUUCACCGGAGCGCUGUGAAUGUGUGUUUUUAUGUUCACAAACCCUACGAUGGGUCUCCUUGUGCCUUUUUUCCUCACUGUCAUCCAAACAAACGCAGUUAUUAAAGUGUAGCGCUCGACAACAGCAGGAUCUUCAGGUGACAUCUCUGAUGGCUUAUUGCACAACUUGCCUAAAAUAUUAAUUAAAACUGUCAAGAACUGGCCAGUUUCACCCCAAAAUCAUUUAGAAAUUAUAUUUUGCUAAAAUAUAAAGACAAUUGAGGCAAUUAGCAUUGUGACUUUAAAAUUAAAUCAUGUUCAUGACGAUUAAACACAUUUUUUUCUAAUUGUCAUUUAAAAAAUGUGUUUUCUACUUGGUCUUGUAACUGUUCAGUGAAAAAUACAGUGUGUGUGUUUGUAUAUACUUUUAAUUGUCUUGUAGUGAAUUUCUGCUGUUCUAAAGAAAAAAAAACUUAAAUCAAACUAAUACAUUUAUUAAUUCAACUACAUCAAUUUUUUUCAAAGUUCUUCCACAUUAUGCUUGUGUAAAUUUGUAAUCCGAUUGAUUUUCAUGAAAAUACUGUUGCAAUGCAAAAUAUUUUUACGUAAUGGUCUUUAUGCACAGUACAAUUUUAUUUUCAUACACUCAUAUCUAUGCAUAUAAACUGUAGAUAUGAGUUACAUAUAAAACAACUAUUGAAUAUAUAUAUAUUAAAAAUAAAGUUUAUUAACAUUUUACAAAUAUAUAUAUAUAUAUACACACACACACACACAUAAUUUAAAAAGUAAUAUAUUCCUAAAAUGUAUAGUGUGUGUGUGUGUGUGUGUGUGUGUGUGUAUGUUUGUAUGAAUGUAUAGUGUGUGUGUGUGUGUGUGUGUGUGUGUGUGUGUAUGUUUGUAUGAAUGUAUAGUGUGUGUGUGUGUGUGUGUGUAUGUAUGUAUGUAUAGUGUGUGUGUGUGUAUGUAUGUGUAUUGUGUGUGUGUGUGGGUGUGUAUAUGUGUGUAUAGUGUGUGUGUGUGUGUGUGUAUUUUGAGGUGAAACAUGGCUUUGACAUUUCUAAAAUGCUAAAAAAUUUCAGGAGAUUCUUGCUCUUGUCCUCAGUGUGUGUGAUUUUACGCUCUGGUUCUCGAGCACAGAUUCACAUUACUUAGUGAUUUCUCUGAGAUGAACUGAAAUUGUGUGUCACUUUCAGACGCGGCGCUGGCCUGAAGCGAUAAUGUGAGUUUAGUUGGGCCUAAAUUUGGGAGAGUACAGUAUUUAUCACAGGUACUGCUCUAGUUCUAUAGAGCGCCUGCUUUAACUGCACCUUUUUAAGUGUUCUGGAAGCUGUUUUUCUGAUCAGAUCGUAGGUGUUUCAUGUUUCAUCAGUUAUCUGAAGUGAUUCUAGUCUAAACCACUGGAGGAGCCCAAAAGCCCUGCUAUAAAGCAUAUAGCUGUGGUUCAGUGCAUUGCAUUAUGGGUAAUAAUAUGAAAACUCAUAUGGAUGACUGUUUUAGGGUUUCAGGGAGGAUCAUUUUGAUUUUCAGAAAAUAAAUCUACAUCAAAUAUUUAUUUAACCAGCUAUUUUUUUAUUCAAUUUACCCUGUUUGAAUGAGAUUUUAACCUUCGGAAUGUGAUCCUGCUUUGAUUUUGACUUAAUUUUUAGUUUUUUUUCUGACUGAUCCAUGUAAACCAAACCAUUCUGACUCUGAAUAUGAACUGAAUCCUGUACAUGGUGUGAAUACUCUCCUGUCUCUUCAGAUUAAUCUGAUGAUUUUAGCAUAAACUAGCAUUGAGUAGAACCGGCCUCUUUCAGGGUCGUCUCUGAGUUUAUUUACUAGCAUUGAUUUGUAUGUAAAGUCAAAUGUGAAAAGAUGUUCAGCAGCUGAAUAAAUAACUCUAUGGGAAAA